AGCUGGUGUGCUACAGUGGUUUAGUGGGUCAGACUAAAAUUCAGGAGGCCCAGGUUCAAAUCCUCACUUGGUCA
rnacentral:tRNA from 1 species